rnacentral:snRNA from 1 species
AUCGCUUCUCGGCCUUUUGGCUAAGAUCAAAGUUUAGUUUCGUUCUUAUCGAAUUAACCGUCGAUAGAGAUUCGAAUGAAUCUCGUUAAGGUUAUUUGAUUUUUGAGACCGGACGAGGUCGUGGGCUUGCUCGCGCCUCGUCACGGGUCGGCCCAGCGUUGCAGUACUGUUGGGAUCGGCCCACCCCUC